AAGAAUCUAACAUAAGAAUCCCACUAUGAAAUAUCAUGUGAGGAACAUUUUCAUUAGAAUCAUCAGGGUAUUGUGAUUAAACCCUGAUUUUGACCAAACAGUGUGCCAAUUUGGCUAAAUUCAUGAACCAAACCAGACCACCGACUAACAUAUAUAAAAAUAGCAGAAGCCCAAUAGCCACUUGUUCCCACGGUCGGCGCGGUUAGAGUAGAAUAAUGUAAGACGCCGUCAGCCGGUGUGUGGUACCCCGUACCCAACACCUUCACCGACUAGCUGCUUCCCUUCGCACAUUUUGUAAUAAUAAAAAUUAAAAUAAGUGAGGAGACUGUUAGGGGUUUGGUUAGUUUGGUAUAAUUAGAGUGGGACCGUCAGGGGCCGGAUAUAGACGUUGAGUCACCGCUCCAUUCGAGUCAUUUUCGGAUUUUCCUAUAGCCCCGCCCCCCCUCUUUCUUUAAGAACCAGCCAGAAACGUCUUUCUUUCUUCUCUGCUCUCUGGUAUCCGGUUUCCUCAACCUUCUUCUUCUAUUCAAACCCCACGGCCGCCAGGGAAGACCCGGAGUCGUACGGAGAUGAUGGUAGAGUUUUUUCUUCUAGGGUGUACCGGAGUUGUUGUGUUCCUCCACGGAGCCAAUUUCUUCUUCCACGUUCUCUCCAACCACAUGGCCAUCCGAUCUCUCAGUUUCCUGGGAUUUGCUGGAUGGUAGUAGAUGGCGAGGAAAGAUGAAGAAUUGAAGGGAAGUCCAUGGUCGGUGGGUGAUGACACAUUGAAAGUCGGGGAAGGCACCGCCUGGCAUUAAGUUUUGUAAAUACUUUUGAGCAAAUAUUAAUAAUAUUAGUGACAUUAAGAAACAGAUGAAAUACAUUAGAAAUAAAUGGGAGGCUUUAUUCAGUGACUUGUAAUAAUCCAUCUGCACUUAAUCAAUUUCAGACCGCACGUGAUAUGGAAAUAAUAUUUGCUUAUCCUUUUAUUUUUUCAA